AGAGAGAUUGUGUGUGCUGAAAACCGCAUAUUCAAACCAUUGCCUAUUUCUGCACCUCAUCCUGCCAAUUACAAUCUGCUUGGUGGUGUGAAACAGACAGCCGGCAGGAGUGAUGGAGACAGGAGGCCCGGUGAACAAGGGCUUUGUGCAUUCUCAGCUUCAGAGAGAAUGUUCAGCGGGGCGGACAGGCAUGUAACUGGCAGGUUUAGGAAUCAGUAAAAAACCAAGAGCUGGAAGUCCUAAUUUAUCGUCUGUUUCAAUACAAGGCUAGACACAGGCUAUUUAAUAUAAUGCAUUGUUUUCCAGUGGAGGAGAGUGGAAGUUAUUGAUGCAUUACAAAUGCAGGCAAAUGCAUCUCAUAAGCCAAGGGAUGUGUUUGCAGGGCACCAUCUGCCUUCCCUGGUGAUCCAGUGACAAACAGAGGGAGAAAGAAGAUUGGCACCAGAAGAACUUCCUGGAGCAGCUUUGGAACGGUGGCAGCCAAGUGUAUCCAGCUUGGGUCAUGGAGCACAGAGUCCCUGGUCAUAGCUGCCUGAAGUCACUGACUGUGAGCCACUCAGAGAUAAACAAAUGGACCCACUCAGUAGAACACACGGUGCCUGUAUCACCCCAUCUAAGUGCUUCGGAUGGCUGAAUGCUAAGGGGAGCCAGUGAUUUCACUUCUCUAGGCUUACCCCGAUGUAGUAGGCCCUCACUCAACAUCUGCUAACUAUCUGAUCUGACAGCACUCAGCCUGGUGCUGAUGCUGCCAGUCCAUGUCUAGGGAACUGCUUAGCCUGCAGAGAGAAAUCCUUUUCAUUUGGAAGAAUGAACUUGACCAUUUGCCUAUGACUAUGGGGAAGGUAGACCUCGUGGCCUAGAGUCUCACUCCCUUGCAAGUUGGCAUGUAUUUUUGUAUUUUGUGUCUCCUGGCUGUUCACUCAUGAGGAAUGAUAGGGCCAUUGUUUGGUCCUGGUUUCCUUCUGGGAAGCGACCUCCUAUCCAGGAUAGACACACACUUAGGAUGCUUUAAAGAGAGAUUAGCUAAACUAGAGCAAACAAAAUGCACAGCAUGCCCUGAACUGGGGUAGAUAAGUUUCUUGUCUUCCUGAGAGCCCGUUCUAUGGGUGGCAACUUAAUUUUCUUCAUCAUACAAGCUUGGAAAACAUCAGAGGUAUCUUUGUCCUCUCUUGUGACUCCCACACCCAAUCUGUCCUAGUGAGUUUGAGUCUCAAAGCAUGUGUAAGGCUGGCUCAGGUCUUCCUGUCUCUUAUCUGAUCUGAGCAGUUACAGAAGCCCCUCAUUGCUAUUCUUGCCCCUAGCUUUCCAAUAUCUUUAAUGAGUAGCCGUUUUUUUAAACUGUGCUCACCAAGCCUUAGGCUCUCUCAGCCCAGUGUUAAGACCUCACCCUUCAGUGAAGGAUCAAACAGAGUCUGGAUGAGGCUCGUGGGCACUCAGUACUAUCCAA
rnacentral:lncRNA from 1 species